UACGUAGGGUGCAAGCGUUGUCCGGAAUUAUUGGGCGUAAAGAGCUCGUAGGCGGUCUGUUGCGUCGGCUGUGAAAACCCGAGGCUCAACCUCGGGCCUGCAGCCGAUACGGGCAGACUAGAGUUCGGCAGGGGAGACUGGAAUUCCUGGUGUAGCGGUGAAAUGCGCAGAUAUCAGGAGGAACACCGGUGGCGAAGGCGGUUCUCUGGGCAUGUCCUGACGCUGAGGAGCGAAAGUGUGGGGAGCGAACAGG
rnacentral:rRNA from 1 species